GACUCACGCGGGAAUCUUACCGGGUCCGGACACACUGAGGAUUGACAGGUUUCGAGAGUUUUUUUGGAGUUCGCUCCAGAAUGCUCUCUUAAAUAUGCUAGUCCUUUCAUGAUUAUGUGAUAGGUGGUGCAUGGCCGUUCUUAGUUCGUGGAGUGAUCUGUCUGCUUAAUUGCGUUUCACUAAAGGCGUCAUUAUAUUUUUGUGCUUGUGUUUGACCCCUCUUUCUUCGGAUUGAGCGCGUGUCUUUCACACACAAUUACUUUGACGUCUGAAAGCAACGAACGUGACCGUAACCUCUUGUUGCCUUCUCUUCUCUUCGGAGAAUGCUAGUUUUUUUCUUCGGAUAAAUUCUAGUAUAUGGAGGCUUUUACUCAAACUAGAGGGACCGCUGUUACUUUCUUUAAACCAGAGGAAGGUUGCGGCAAUAACAGGUCUGUGA
rnacentral:rRNA from 1 species